rnacentral:tRNA from 1 species
UGGGGAAUCGUCCAGCGGCAGGACAUCAGACUCUGGAUCUGAUUACCCAGGUUCGAAUCCUGGUUCCCCAG